AGAGUUUGAUCAUGGCUCAGGAUGAACGCUAGCUACAGGCUUAACACAUGCAAGUCGAGGGGAAACGACAUCGAAAGCUUGCUUUUGAUGGGCGUCGACCGGCGCACGGGUGAGUAACGCGUAUCCAACCUGCCCAUCACUUGGGGAUAACCUUGCGAAAGUAAGACUAAUACCCAAUGACGUCUCUAGAAGACAUCUGAAAGAGAUUAAAGAUUUAUCGGUGAUGGGAUGGGGAUGCGUCUGAUUAGCUUGUUGGCGGGGUAACGGCCACCAAGGCGACGGAUCAGUAGGGGUUCUGAGAGGAGGUCCCCCCANAUUGGAACUGAGACACGGUCCAAACUCCUACGGGAGGCA
rnacentral:rRNA from 1 species